rnacentral:sRNA from 1 species
GCUGGACAUGGUGGUGCACACCUGUAAUCCCAGCGGCUUGGGAGGCUGAGGCAGGAGGAUCAUGAGUUCAAAGUCAGCCUUAGCAACAGUGAGUCCCUAAGCAACUCAGUGAGACCCUGUCUCUA